rnacentral:rRNA from 1 species
UACAGAGGGGGCAAGCAUUGUUCGGAAUUACUGGGCGUAAAGGGCGCGUAGGCGGCCUGUUAAGUCGAACGUGAAAUCCCCGGGCUCAACCCGGGAACUGCGUCCGAUACUGGCAGGCUUGAAUUCGGGAGAGGGAUGCGGAAUUCCAGGUGUAGCGGUGAAAUGCGUAGAUAUCUGGAGGAACACCGGUGGCGAAGGCGGCAUCCUGGACCGAGAUUGACGCUGAGGCGCGAAAGCCAGGGGAGCAAACGGG